CGGCGGACGGGUGAGUAAUGUAUGGGGAUCUGCCUGAUGGCGGGGGAUAACUACUGGAAACGGUAGCUAAUACCGCAUAAUGUCUACGGACCAAAGCGGGGGACCUCCGGGCCUCGCGCCAUCAGAUGAACCCAUAUGGGAUUAGCUAGUAGGUAAGGUAACGGCUUACCUAGGCGACGAUCCCUAGCUGGUCUGAGAGGAUGACCAGCCACACUGGGACUGAGACACGGCCCAG
rnacentral:rRNA from 1 species